rnacentral:rRNA from 1 species
CCAAUAGCGUAUAUUAAAGUUGUUGCAGUUAAAAAGCUCGUAGUUGAACCUUAGGCCCGUGCGGGUGGUCCGUCCUCAGGGCGAGCACUGCCUCGUUGCGGGUCUCACCUUCUGGCGAGCGUAGAUGCCAUUUAUUUGGUGUCUGCGGGAACCAGGACCUUUACCUUGAAAAAAUUAGAGUGCUCAAAGCGGGCUCCGACGCUUGAAUACAUUCGCAUGGAAUAAUGAAUACGUACGAUGGUUCUAUUUUGUUGGUUUCUGGGACCGUCGUAAUGAUUAAUAGGGAUAGUUGGGGGCAUUCGUAUUCAAUUGUCAGAGGUGAAAUUCUUGGAUUUAUUGAAGACGGACUACUGCGAAAGCAUUUGCCAAGGAUGUUUUCAUUAAUCAAGAACGAAAGUUGGGGGAUCGAAGACGAUCAGAUACCGUCGUAGUCUCAACCAUAAACUAUGCCGACUGGGAAUCGGGCGAUGUUAUUUUUUGUGACUCGCUCGGCGCCCCGAG